GCGACCGCGCCGAACCUACUUCGAAAGUAAAAUUUCUCAGUGGGUAAUCCAUUAGAAGUAAUGACUCGCAUAGACCAUGGCACAACUAAAUGUACGCGCAGGUUCUACCCGGCUCGCCUUUGUGUGAGUGCAGUGCGUAGCUUGUUGUUUCGUACGUGCCACUCCGUAUUAAUUCGUACGUGGGGAUAGAUCAUUGUUUAAUUGUUGGUCUCGGUCUUAACUAGGAAUGCCUUGUACGGGUCUCUGGUUCAACAUACCACCCGGAAUA
rnacentral:rRNA from 1 species